UACGAAGGGGGCGUAGCGUUGCUCGGAAUCACUGGGCGUAAAGCGCACGUAGGCGGGUCCUUAAGUCGGGGGUGAAAUCCCGGAGCUCAACUCCGGAACUGCCUUCGAUACUGGGGACCUCGGGUCCGGGAGAGGUGAGUGGAACUGCGAGUGUAGAGGUGAAAUUCGUAGAUAUUCGCAAGAACACCAGUGGCGAAGGCGGCUCACUGGCCCGGUACUGACGCUGAGGUGCGAAAGCGUGGGGAGCAAACAGG
rnacentral:rRNA from 1 species